rnacentral:lncRNA from 13 species
CUUCAUGAAUUUAUCUACCUUUGGUCUUUGAUGUUGAUGACCUUUGGAUGGGGUCUCUGAGUGGACAUCCUUUUUGUUGAUGUUGAUGCUAUUCCUUUCUGGUUGUUAGUUUUCCUUUUAACAGUCAGGUCUCUCUGCUGCAGGUCUGCAGGAGUUUGCUGGAGGUCUAUUUCAGAACUUGUUUGCCUGGGUAUCACCAGCGAAGGCUACAGAACAGCAAAGGUUUCUGCCUGUUCCUUCCUCUGGAAGCUUUGUUCCAGAUGGGCACCCCCAGAUGCCAGCUGGAGCCCUCCUGUAUGAGGUAUCUAUUGACCCCUGCUGGGAGGUGUCUCCCAUCAGGAGACAUGGGGUUCAGGGACCCACUUGAGGAGGCAGUCAGUCUGUCUCUUAGCAGAGCUUGAGCACCAUACUGGGAGAUCUGCUGCUCUCUUCAGAGCUGGCAGGCAGGAAUGUUUAAGUCUGCUGAAGCUGCACCCACAGCUGCCCCUUCCUCCAGUACUCUGUCCCAGGGAGAUGGGAGUUUUAUCUGUAAGCCCCUGACUGGGGUUGCUGCCUUUCUUUCAGAGAUGUUCUGCCCAGAGAGGAGGAAUCUAGAGAGGCAGUCUGGCUACAGUGGAUUUGCCAAGCUGUAGUGGGCUCCACCUAGCUCAAACUUUCCAGCAGCUUCAUUUACACUGUGAGGGGAAACUGCCUACUCAAGCCUCAGUAAUGGUGGACACCCCUCCCCCCACCAAGCUCAAACAUCCCAGGUCAACUUCAGACUGCUGUGCUGGCAGUGAGAAUUUUAUGCCAGUGGAUCUUAGCUUGCUGGGCUCUGUGGGAGUGAGAUCUGGCUGUACAGAAAGCAUGGUACUGGCAUCUACUCUCAAUGAGGGCCUCAGGAAGCUUCCAAUCGUGGUGGAAGGUGAAGGGGAAGCAGGCACCCCAUGGUGAGAGUGGAAGCCAGAGUAGGGGGAGGUGUCAUACUCUUAAACAACCAGAUGUUGCAUGAACUCAGAGGGAGAACUCAGCACCAAGCCAUUCAUGAAGGAUCCUCCCCCAUAACCCAAACCCCUCCUACCAGGCCUCACUCCAGCACUAGGGAUUACAUUUCAACUUGAGAUUUGGAGGGGACAGACAUCCAAACUAUAUCAGUGUGUUAGAAGAUAUGUUAGAAGAUAUGGAAGAAAGAAAGGAAAAGCAGGGUAAGAGGGAGGUUGCAGUUUAAAAGACAGUGUGUGUUGGGGUAGGCCUCAUCAAGACAGUGACAUUUAGGCAAAGACUUGAUGGAGGUAAGGAAUAUCAAGGAGACAAAUCAUUUCAAACAAAGAAAACUGUCUGUGAAAAGCCCGAGGCAGGACUGGGUUGGUCUGUCCAGGGAGUAGCAGUGAGGAGGGACCGUGUCUGCCUCAGGGUGAGGGAGGGAGGUCAGGCCCGGGGUGUGAGGAGGUAGAGCACAGGAAGGGGCAUUCUAGGGCUUUGGCUCUUACUCUGAGUGAAAUGGGAAGGAGAGGAGUGACAUGACCUGAUUAAGUGACAUGCUGACUGCUGUGUUGAGGGUAGGCUACAGACAAGCAGAAAAACAGAGGACCAAAUGGAAGGCUAUAUCCAAAUCCAGAAGAGAUGACCAUGGCUUGGAUCAGAACAGUAACAGUGGCUAUAGAGAAAGAAGUAGGAAUUUGGAUGUAUUCCCUGUGGGCUAGAUAUGGGGUUGGGUGGUAAAGGUCUGUAUAUACAGGUAGAGAGACUUUUCUGAAAUGUAAAUCUAAAUUGUAAAUGGCUUAACAUCUUUUAAUAGCUCCCUUUCAUUCACCAUGAAUAAAUAUCAAACAAAACAAAUAAUUGACA